UUGGCAACAGAGAUUUGCAACUUUGUGGGGCAGGGAGAAUGGUUUGAGGGGCAACUUAUGGCAAAUAAAAGAUAAGAAGGAAAGAUUUAGCAUUCCCGUUUCCCUUCUGCUUCAUACUAAUUUACCUGUGAUGUGUACUUCAAACAUCUAACUUCCCAGGACCAAUGGCACAUUUUUCCCACAUAAAAGGCAGCAGUGGAGAAAAUACAGUCCAUGUGCCAUUCAGGUGAUGCCACCCAAUUUCUUUCCAAGGUUGAUAGGGUGACAGAGAUGGCUAUGUUCCAAGGUCCCUGUUGAAUCAGUGUGUCCCUUUAUAGCAGACUUGAUCUUCCAGCAAUCAUCAACCAGCCCCUCUGCAAUGCCAGGAAUACAGCUUAAUGGUGUAACAUUAGAAAACGUUGACUAUUUCCGCUACCUUCCAUUAGCGUUGCUCCGAAAAAUCCUGCAAAUCUCUUGGGAAGACAGGUGGACUAAUGUUAGCAUGCUGGAAGAAGCAAAACCACCAGCAUUGAAGCGAUGCUCCUAUGUCAUAAACUCCACUGGACUGGCCAUGUUGUCCAAAUGCCUGAUCACUGUCUCCCAAAGCAGUUACUAUAUUCCCAACUCAAGGAUGGGAAAUGUAAUGUUGGUGGACAGAAAAAGAGAUUUAAAGAUAGGCCCAAAGGUGACCUUGAAAACUGUGGCAUAGACUCCCAGAACUGGGAAGCCCUGGCCCUUGAGCGCUCUAAUUGGAGGUCAGCUGUGACCAGCAGUGCUGCAGAAUUCAAAGAGGCACAAAUGGAGGACUUAUGGGAGAAAGGUGCCAAGAGAAAGGCGCGUCAAGCCAACCCUGACUGGGACCGCCUUCCAUCUGGAAACGGAUGUCUUCACUGCAGAAGAACAUGCGGGUCAAGAAUAAGUCUCCACAGCCACCUACGCAUCCACCGCCAAGACACAACACUUGGAUGACCAUCAUCCUUGAGCUACGAGGGAUCGACUAAGUAAAUAAAGAUCAAAAAAGGAGAAGUAUUCUGCCUGUCCUCAAACCUAUUUCACUGUUGAAAUUGGAACGUGACAAGAUAUUACAAGACCCACAUGCCUGUGGAUUUCAAUGGCUUUCAAUGGCAUAGCAGAGCACUUGAUGAACCAGCCUGGGCACAGUAUAUUAUUUGAGAACACAGAAAUGCUGGACCACUCCAACAACAAUCAUGUCAGACUACACAGAGAAGCCAUUGAAAUCCACAAGCAUGUGGACAACUUCAACAGAAAGGAGGAAACCAUGAAAAUCAACAAAAUCUGGCUACCAGUAUUAAAAAAAACUCUAAAAUCAAAACAGUAGAUGGGAACCAACACUCUGAGGGCAGAGGAGCCCCAAGGACGGCUAAUGACUGAACAAAGGAUGCCCCCCAGGCAAGAGACAAAACCUUUCCAAUGCUAAUUAGGGUGAUUAACUGAAACAUUAAUGCUGGCUUCCCAGUGACAAAGGACUCUUGCCACACCCUGGACUCUCCACAGAUAUAUAUUUUUUUCCUUUCCUUGCCUAGUUUAUCCAUGCCUCACAGCCAUAGAUGUGGGCGAAGCGUCAGGAGAGAAUGCUUCUGGAACAUGGCCACACAGCCCAAAAGACAUACAACAACCCAGAAGAAAGAUGUCUUAUGGACAAUUGUCCUAUGGAGGAUCCCCCCCACCCC